UGGGAUUAAAGGCGUGCACCACCACGCCCGG
rnacentral:piRNA from 1 species